rnacentral:rRNA from 1 species
UACAGAGGUCCCAAGCGUUGUUCGGAUUCAUUGGGCGUAAAGGGUGCGUAGGCGGCGCGGUAAGUCGGGUGUGAAAUCUCGGAGCUCAACUCCGAAAUGGCAUUGGAAACUACCUUGCUCGAGGGUUGGAGGGGGACUGGAAUUCUCGGUGUAGCAGUGAAAUGCGUAGAUAUCGAGAGGAACACCAGUGGCGAAGGCGAGUCCCUGGACAACUCCUGACACUGAGGCACGAAAGCUAGGGGAGCAAACAGG